rnacentral:rRNA from 1 species
AUGGUGGUGCACGUGGUGCUGCUCGCCGCGCCGGCGGUCGGCGGGUUCCUCCUGCACGCGUUCAAGUUCUCCAUCCUCCUGUGGCCGUUCAACCUCACGCUGCCGCUGCUGCGCGACCUGCCGCGGGUCUGCGCCACGCUCCGGGGCGCCGCAUCGCUCUACGCCGCCGAGCUGCGCGCGUCCCUCGGCGGCCGCCGGCGGAGGGCGCCGGCGCCGCAGCUGGACCCGGACGGCAUUCAGCUGCACCUUCGACUUGCCGACGACACGUAUGUAAACCACAGGGCUCCGUCUCAAAUGCCGGCGGCAGAGACGGCAGAGCUCAGAACGAGGUUGGUUGGGGUGGGCCGCAUGGCUGACGAAAUUAUGACGGCGACAACAAUCUGCCUCGCACAUGGCAGCACGCCAGCACCGUCCUCACUGCCUACCCGGAUAAUUGCCGGUGACGACCGGCCGGUGGCGGUGCCCCAGUCCCCACAGAGAGGCAGAGGGACCGGCUGGCCAUGUAGGAGGAGCACCACGACGGCGGCGGCGGCGGUGGUGGAAGAGUUGUUGGGGGGAUCGACGAUGGCGGUGCACGUGGUGCUCCUCGCCGUGCCUGCGGUCGUCGGCGGGUUCCUGCACGCCUUCAAGUUCUCGAUCCUGCUGUGGCCGUUCAACCUCACGCUGCCGCUGCUGCGCCAACUGCCGCGGGUCUGCGCCACGCUCCGGGCGGCCGCGGCGCACUUCGACGCCGAGCUGCGCGCGUUACUGAGUGGCCGCCGGCAGAGCGCGCCGGUGCCGCAGCUGGACCACCAGUACUCUGCCCUCCGCUCCGUGCAGAGACGGACGGCGGGACAGCUCGUUGCGCAGGCCAUGCUGGCCCUCGUCGACGUCUCCUACUGA